rnacentral:rRNA from 1 species
CUUNGUGCUGGGUGGNCGUCNUCANCUCGUGUNANGAGAUGUUGGGUUAAGUCCCGCAACGAGCGCACCCCUUGUCAUUAGUUGCUACUAAAGGGCACUCUAAUGAGACUGCCGGUGACAAACCGGACGAAGGUGGGGAUGACGUCAAGUCCUCAUGGCCCUUAUGGGUAGGGCUUCACACNUCAUACAAUGGUGGGGACAAAAGGGGGCCNACCCGCGAGGGGGAGCCAAUCCUCCAAACCCCAUCGUACUCCGGAUAGUGNUCUGCAACUCCACUGCGUGAAGUCGGAAUCGCUAUUAAUCUCGGAUCACCAUGUCNCGGUGAAUACUUUCCCGGGUCUUGUUCUCNC